CUGGGACUGACAAAGGACCCGGGGGGAGCUUAAAACGCUUGCCUCGCAAUUUAGAAAUGACAAUGGCAACAAUAACAGCAAUGAAGAGACCCAAAAGGGUCUUCUCCAGGAGGAGGAGAUCCAUGGGAGGCUUGGUUUGAUGGAUUAGAGAGGGUGAGAGGUAGGUAUUGGCCUAGUGGGUGUGGUGAGGGACAAAGGAAGAUGAUGGGGGAGUUGGUAUUUUAUAAUCAAGUU
rnacentral:misc_RNA from 1 species